UCCGUACGAGCGCACCCUUGUCCCUAGUUGCCAGCACUUCGGGUGGGAACUCUAGGGAGACUGCCGGUGAUAAACCGGAGGAAGGUGGGGAUGACGUCAAGUCAUCAUGGCCCUUAUGGGGAGGGCUACACACGUGCUACAAUGGCCGGUACAGAGGGCUGCGAAGCCGCGAGGUGGAGCGAAUCUCAGAAAACCGGUCGUAGUCCGGAUUGCAGUCUGCAACUCGACUGCAUGAAGCCGGAAUCGCUAGUAAUCGCGGAUCAGAACGCCGCGGUGAAUACGUUCCCGGGCCUUGUACACACCGCCCGUCACACCAUGGGAGUGGGCUGUACCAGAAGUAGGUUGUCUAACCUUCGGGAGGACGCUUACCACGGUGUGGUUCAUGACUGGGGUGAAGUCGUAACAAGGUAGCCCUAGGGGAACCUGGGGCUGGAUCA
rnacentral:rRNA from 1 species